rnacentral:rRNA from 1 species
UACGUAGGUGGCAAGCGUUGUCCGGAUUUAUCGUGGCGUAAAGAGCGCGCAGGCGGUCGUUCAAGUCGCGUGUGAAAGCCCCCGGCUCAACUGGGGAGGGUCACGCGAUACUGAUCGACUCGAAGGCAGGAGAGGGAAGUGGAAUUCCCGGUGUAGUGGUGAAAUGCGUAGAUAUCGGGAGGAACACCAGUGGCGAAGGCGACUUCCUGGCCUGUUCUUGACGCUGAGGCGCGAAAGCUAGGGGAGCAAACGGG